UGGGGAAUAUUGGACAAUGGGCGAAAGCCUGAUCCAGCCAUGCCGCGUGUGUGAAGAAGGUCUUCGGAUUGUAAAGCACUUUAAGUUGGGAGGAAGGGCAUUAACCUAAUACGUUAGUGCUUUGACGUUACCGACAGAAUAAGCACCGGCUAACUCUGUGCCAGCAGCCGCGGUAAUACAGAGGGUGCAAGCGUUAAUCCGAAUUACUGGGCGUAAAGCGCGCGUAGGUGGUUUGUUAAGUUGAAUGUGAAAUCCCCGGGCUCAACCUGGGAACUGCAUCCAAAACUGGCAAGCUAGAGUAUGGUAGAGGGUAGUGGAAUUUCCUGUGUAGCGGUGAAAUGCGUAGAUAUAGGAAGGAACACCAGUGGCGAAGGCGACUACCUGGACUGAUACUGACACUGAGGUGCGAAAGCGUGGGGAGCAAACA
rnacentral:rRNA from 1 species